AGCGAACGCUGGCGGCAGGCCUAACACAUGCAAGUCGAGCGGCCGUAGCAAUACGGCAGCGGCAGACGGGAGAGUAACACGUGGGAACGUACCCUUUGGUUCGGAACAACCCGGGGAAACUUGGGCUAAUACCGAAUAAGCCCUCACGGGGAAAGAUUUAUCGCCGAAGGAUCGGCCCGCGUCUGAUUAGCUAGUUGGUGGGGUAAUGGCCCACCAAGGCGACGAUCAGUAGCUGGUCUGAGAGGAUGAUCAGCCUCACUGGGACUGAGACACGGCCCAGACUCCUACGGGAGGCAGCAGUGGGGAAUAUUGGACAAUGGGCGCAAGCCUGAUCCAGCCAUGCCGCGUGGGUGAUGAAGGCCCUAGGGUUGUAAAGCCCUUUCGGCGGGGAAGAUAAUGACGGUACCCGCAGAAGAAGCCCCGGCUAACUUCGUGCCAGCAGCCGCGGUAA
rnacentral:rRNA from 1 species